UGUUCACCUAGCAAAAUAUGAAAGCAAAGUUAUGUUUUGAACCUUCUGUAAACAUCUUUCAAUUAUAUUAUGAGGGGAUACAUAUAAAUUUACCUUAAUUUGCGAGUAACGGUACAGACAUACAAAGAGGAGAAUAUAUAAAAACAUUUAUAAAUCUGUUUAAGGAAUGGGAAGUUGUUUAUGUCACAAAGUGGAAUUGGAACGUCGAAUAGAAAGAAGAACCUAUCAAGACGGGAAAGUCGCAACUGAAGAUAUAGCGGUUCAAAUAUAUAAAGGAGAUGCAAAAGACAUUAAAAUGAAAGCAAACGGAAGCUUUAUUGGCCUUGGAACGAUGGGACUUGGAGAUGUUAAGCAAAAAGCAAUCUGUUAUGAAUGAGUCUAAAUUAUGAAAAUUCGAUUUACCAUACAUUAGACGGGUUAAAUAACAAAUAUUGAAAUCUAGCGUCAAGCUAAAAUACUAAAAAAAAAAGGAACCUCUUAAAGAAAAACAAGUUUAUCAAAUAACAAGUGUUAAAUAUUUUCACCGCUUUUCACGGGAUAUCAAGUAAUGGAAAACUCAAACCAUUAUCAGUAUCUUGUUGAAAGAUAAAGGUUAAACUCCCUACUGAAUUUGUUUUUGUAUUUUUAGGGUUCU